GUCAGAAAUGCUUUUAUAAUCUUUCAUUAUUUGUUAUUUCUCUAACUUAUAUCAUUCACCUUUGCAAACUGCUAUCGAAGCAGUACAAUAGUUUUGCUACAUCGAGUCAUAUUAUUCAGAUAUUGCUUGGCCAUUCCCUCUAUGCAUCGUACAGUGAAUAAUUUUACAAUAUACAAAAUAAAAAUCUCCCCUCAGAAGUGAGAGGAUUUGACUGAGGAUUGUCCUAUACAGAAUAGGGAUUAAAUUUUUACCAACUCACGUAGAAUACGAUUUAACUUUCCUACUUUUAACAGGAUUAGCAUGAUUCCCACAUUGAAUAGAAAUCAAAAGAAUCUCCUUUUCCCAAAUACAUAGAGGCUUUCCCUUGUGUUUUAUUCAUCUCAAUUCAGAAGGUAGUGAUGGAAUGAAUAUCUUUGGGGUGAAACUUGGGGAUCCUUUGUAGUCUCGCCUUUUUGCCUGUACGUACUAUGAGAGGGUUUUAGUGGUAUGUUAGCUCUUGGUGUUCUUGGGGUCUGGGGUGUGAGAUAUUUGUGUGGUUAAACUACUUUUCACAUGGAUAAAUCUGUCUUUCGAGGCCUGUAGUUUUUCAUGUAUCUUGUGUUCUUUUUAUUGUUCAUAUUCUAUGUUUUUCUUUAUAUUUUGUCGGAAAAGGAGGAUCCGGGGGCUGAAUCUGGAAAUUAGCCCAGAUUCCCCAAUAAGAAGGGUGCGGGAGAUAUGUUAUAAUCCUUAAAUAGAAGGAAUUGAUUCCAACCUUGGUCUUGAUUCUAAUAGAAAGUUUGCUGAAGAUAGGCUAGAGGGCUGCUUAAAGUUUGUCUGAAAACAUUAGUUUGAUUACAUUAGCAAAUCUCAGGAUAGUGUAGAGCAACCAUAUAUUCUGGAAUAUCACCCAGUGUUGGUAGAAAUCUGGUACUUUAUUCGUUAUUGACGGACCAACUUAGAUAUGUGCAUCCUGUUAAUGCCCAUGUCAAGCCUUGUGGUUUUGGACUCUAUAAUCCUAGUGUUGAACCUACUUUGAGAAUGUUUGGCUGGUUUUACCUUGAUUAAAAGUUCUGGGUUUACCUUGAUUAAAAGUUCUGGGUUGACUUUGUGAGUCUUUCCUCGAAGCAUAUUUAUAUUUUCCCGUUCCCAUUAAUUACAAAGACAAAUGCCUUUUUUCCCACUUUGAAAGCAGG
rnacentral:lncRNA from 1 species